UUGUUUGUUUCAUAACUGUGCCCCUGUCUAUAUUUAGAUGCAUUACGAGACUCAGGUAACCGAUCGAUAGGAGAGUCGCUAGCUGUAUUCAGGCCGUCGCCUAGACUACAGUGCAUGUGCUUGUAGAGCUGGACGUACACGAUUAACGCCCCACUGUGUUACUGUAACAGAGACAUUCUGAAUUGUUUCAGUACUGGGAGAUGUGUUAAUAAAAUGGUUCCAAUGCAUGGUAAUUAAACUCAACUUUUCUACAAUACGUAUACACGGCCGUCAUAUAAAGCACAAUGUGUAUUACUGACAUGACAAAUGUACGCUGGCAAUUUAAACGAACGCGGGAUUGCUCCCGAUAGAACAAUUCUUUUAAAGCAAAAAAAAAACUGAUUUGCGAUGGAUUUAAUAUAAUUAUCAUUGUGGAGAUGAUUUUAAAAAGUGAACUUAAUAUUCGUAUACGAUAAUAUUUGAAUCCAAAGCCGCUAGUUUUAAGUUACGGUUAUUAGGGAUAUUAAUUAUGACUUGCCCCGCGUUUCAGGUUUUUUACUUGCAAAACAUCUACAAACGAAAAUACCAAACAACCUUCAGCAGCAACUUACAAAUUAUUUAUUCCAUACACAAUUCUAAAGAGGUAAUUAAAUAAAUUUUAUAUAUGCUUUAUACUCGUAUUCGCUAUCUUCCAUGGAAAAAAGUGGCAUGGUAAAAAUGUUGUUCAAUGUUCAUCAAAUACGCUGUAGCCUUAGCAAUCGAAAAUAAUUAACAAACUGUAUAUUGAUAGAUUGACAUAUCAACAAACAUUCAGACCCGCAAUGUGUUUUCUUACAAGUUCUAUAAAACGUAGACUCAAUGACUGAAUUCUUUACCGUUUUCCGUCUGGGUUAUUUUGAAUCACGUGUGUACGUUAUGUGUAGCCAUAUAGAUGAACACUUUAAGUGUUUAUUUUUUUAAAGAAAUUGUGUACACACAGAGCAAUGCAAUGCUAGGACAAUAAAAUUCCAACAAUGUAUAUGGUGAGGCCGGUCAGACUGAUACUGGUUCUGCUUGUUCUACAAAUAGCGAAUGUAAGACGAAGUAUUUGGGUGUUAUAUUUUAAACAAAUAUAAGUAUUGCUUUCUUAAAAGCAUGCAUUACUCAAACAAAGUAUUUUAUUGGAGUCAUUCUUAGUUACCUUAGCUGCAUAUAUGUACCGCUCGGUCUGUAUCCCGGAAAAAUUGACUACCAUCCGAAAUUUUUCAUACAAGGUCUACAGACUUGCAGCUAACAUUACCUUUAAAAAUACAUUUUGAAAUUUGCCCUUGUUUAUAAAUUCAUUAAAAAGACGCGCAGAAUCAAGUGGUAAUAUGGGAUUUAUGACGUCUAUUUAUAUUGUUUUCAUUAAAACUAUUUCAUUAUUUCAAGCUUGUGGGUGGAAUGAAAUCAGUUUCACAUGUUAUAUGACAUAAAGAUGUCCUCUCCCCACUUUUUCUCGAAGCAACUAUUUUUAUAAAAUUUACAUAAAAAAAUUGAAUUAUUAUGGAGUUGCCCCCCCCCCCCAUUUUGGUAGCAUGUUAAAAAAAAUGGUAUGAAAAUCAUGAAAUUAUGAGUGAAAUUUUGAAAAUUUUGGAAAAUUCAAAAAAAAAAAUCUUUUUUUGCUUGUCAAGAUUUGUUGGAUGAGUUUGCCCCCCCCCCCACUUUCAAAAACGAUGCUACGUGCUUAGAAAUUACUCAUUUCAUUAUUCCCCUCUUUAAUAAACAAAACAAACUAACAAACAUAACCGAUCCAGAUAAAUAUAAUUACAUGUAUCAAAAAUAAACUUAAAAAACAAACUACACAUUCAUCCUUCACCCACAAUAUUGCCUUUUCGAUAUUUGUCAUCGUUGUAGACCCGUGUAACAAUCUGUUAAGUAGGUGCUUGCACGAAAAAGAACCCCUUGCUGAUCUACAUUUUCAUUAACGCAUACAAAGAAAAAAUAUAUUUUGAUUUAUUUUUGAAUUUCUUUUGAUGUAAAAAAAAAAAAGAGAAGAAAU
rnacentral:sRNA from 1 species